UGUUAUUUUGGCAGAUAAGAUGCAUUAAAUUUAGGAUUUAAUUAUAUAGAAAACUCUAUAAAUAGUAG
rnacentral:tRNA from 1 species